UUCAGGUUCUGAACGGAUUAAUAGGGAACGCUGUGAGAAUCAGCGGCUAUACCCGUAGCUGUGAGUCCUGAUUUUGCGUCUCUUCCAUGAUGUCACUGACAAAAUCUUGUCGGGAAGGCGGAAGGGGCGGGGACAAGCCAGAAGACCUGCCUGCAACC
rnacentral:ncRNA from 1 species